rnacentral:rRNA from 1 species
UACCAGAGAACUUAGCAGAGAUGCUUUGGUGCCUUCGGGAACUCUGAGACAGGUGCUGCAUGGCUGUCGUCAGCUCGUGUUGUGAAAUGUUGGGUUAAGUCCCGCAACGAGCGCAACCCUUAUCCUUUGUUGCCAGCGGUCCGGCCGGGAACUCAAAGGAGACUGCCAGUGAUAAACUGGAGGAAGGUGGGGAUGACGUCAAGUCAUCAUGGCCCUUACGAGUAGGGCUACACACGUGCUACAAUGGCGCAUACAAAGAGAAGCGACCUCGCGAGAGCAAGCGGACCUCAUAAAGUGCGUCGUAGUCCGGAUUGGAGUCUGCAACUCGACUCCAUGAAGUCGGAAUCGCUAGUAAUCGUGGAUCAGAAUGCCACGGUGAAUACGUUCCCGGGCCUUGUACACACCGCCCGUCACACCAUGGGAGUGGGUUGCAAAAGAAGUAGGUAGCUUAACCUUCGGGAGGGCGCUUACCACUUUGUGAUUCAUGACUGGGGUGAAGUCGUAACAAGGUAGGCGUAGUGCU